ACGAACGCUGGCGGCGUGCUUAACACAUGCAAGUCGAACGGUAAGGCCCCAGCUUGCUGGGGUACACGAGUGGCGAACGGGUGAGUAACACGUGGGUGACCUGCCCCGCACUUCGGGAUAAGCCUGGGAAACUGGGUCUAAUACCGGAUAGGACCGCACCGUGAGGGUGUGGUGGAAAGUUUUUCGGUGUGGGAUGGGCCCGCGGCCUAUCAGCUUGUUGGUGGGGUAAUGGCCUACCAAGGCGGCGACGGGUAGCCGGCCUGAGAGGGUGGACGGCCACAUUGGGACUGAGACACGGCCCAGACUCCUACGGGAGGCAGCAGUGGGGAAUAUUGCACAAUGGGCGGAAGCCUGAUGCAGCGACGCCGCGUGGGGGAUGACGGCCUUCGGGUGGUAAACUCCUUUCACCAUCGACGAAGGUUUUCUGACGGUAGAUGGAGAAGAAGCACCGGCUAACUACGU
rnacentral:rRNA from 1 species